AUGUACAUUCCUACAACAUAACGUUAAUGCAUUGAAUCCCAUUAGAAAUAUGCAAUUAAGCACACUCAGGCUAGAGUAGUACUAGGAUGGGUGACCGCCCAGGAAGUCCUAGUGUUUUACAUG
rnacentral:rRNA from 1 species